rnacentral:rRNA from 1 species
UACGUAGGGGGCAAGCGUUGUCCGGAUUUAUUGGGCGUAAAGAGCGUGUAGGCGGCCAGGUAGGUCUGCUGUGAAAACUCGGAGCUCAACCUCGAGACGCCGGCGGAAACCAUCUGGCUAGAGUCCGGAAGAGGAGAGUGGAAUUCCUGGUGUAGCGGUGAAAUGCGCAGAUAUCAGGAAGAACACCCGUGGCGAAGGCGGCUCUCUGGGACGGUACUGACGCUGAGACGCGAAAGCGUGGGGAGCGAACAGG